CUGAAAUUGGCCACCCCAAGAUACGUCUCUUUGGCAUCAGGAUUAUUUGAGGCUGAUUGCUUUUGAUAAACUGGGACAGGGAAGGAGGCUCUGAGGAAUGGAACUUGCCCUUCCUUAGGACGUAUUUACAUUUGUAAGGUAAAUCUCUAUCUGUAAAAGGCGCCUCCCUCUCUGUACCAGGAAGAAGAAAGGAGAUGACCUUCUCUCCAAAAACUCUUAAUCAAUACCAAAGGCAAGGACUUAAAUCUGCAUUUUAUUGUGCUAGUCUGGUAACCUCCUGUAACUGACUUCCCUCCUCCUCCCAACUUUGGCAUUUCUUUAAGGAUUAAGCAUCUUUCUUUAGGCUAGGAACUGAUUGCUGAGCUCACCUGUGACCGCCCAGCUUCAGACAAUCGACUUGCCUCCUGCUACGCCCACAGAGAUAGCUCACCCAGACUUACCACUGCUUGCUGUGUCCAUCAAGCACUGUGCUGACGGGGCAAUCUUGUGACUAUUGUGGGAGGGACAUUUCAAUCACAUGUGAAACACCCCGUUUGGGGGUAUAUAACCACUCUGUGCACCCCAUUUCUUCAGUGCCCUUUCUUCCUUCAGGAAGAAAGGCCCCGGGCCAUGGUUCCUCAUAAAGCUUUGUUUAAUUUUCUCUUGCUAUUCUGUCUCACGUGAAUUUAAUUCGUUCUCCAGCCAGACGAACCCACAUUUGGGGAGAGGAAAUGUCCUCCUCCCCUACAGUUUUGGCAUAGUCAGCAGGAUGAAAUUUCCCUGGCUGGACAUUGCUUGCUCCUGGACUGCUGCGGCCGAGAGAUCCUGGACCCCUGACGGGAGCCGGCAAGAGGUAAGAGUUCUUACCACGUCAGUCUCCCGGAUCUCUGACUGCAGGCUCCAAUGGAAGAAAGAGUGGUGAGUUUUUUUUGCUCUUCUAAAUUUAGAUUACCAGGAGAAAAUGUUGGUGAGGCUAGCUUCUUGGAGUCAGCGACUCUAGUAUUUGAGUACUCACUGGUUGCAGAUCCUUUUCCUCCCAGAGAUUGACUUUUCCUUGUCUCUGUCUUUUUGUUUGUCAUAAGACACACGCAUCUCUAUAAGCCUGUUGUCUGGGCCUUUUGUCUUGUUCUAUGUCUUGAGAGCUUGGCUUUGUGACCUUUCUGGUCUCUGCCAUCGGAGGAUGCAUGGACCGGCACGCAUCUUGGUGCAGUCGAGUAGACUGGGGUUCCGGGACACACUCUUUGUCCAGCUGUUUCAGCUCUUAGGGGAGUUUGUCAUAAGAGGUCCCAACUGCUUUCAUAAGGGGCCUUUGUCGUUCAACCUUUGUCAUCUCAACGUUUGUUGCUUGCUGUGCAAUAAGGGCCUUUACUUUCUUAGGCUAUUUUUGGGAGUGAAUUUUCUGGAUCUCUUUUGGGGAUGCCUCUUUGUCCUUGGUUAAGCUUUGGUUGAGUUGCUGUUAAGAUCCUACUCGUCAAUUAGGCCAGAGAUGGAUCAUUUAAAUUCGGAAAACUUCUAAAUUGGGAAAAAAAAUUGUGAGCACUCUCAUCAUGAUUUUUAUUGGUAUCUAUGAAAAGGCCAAAUUAAAAAGGAAACACAGAAAAUGAUGACUAGGUUUAAACCCUGACUCAGGUUAUAAUUGAAUUGGUGAAAUAUAAAGACCUAAUGUUGAUAAGAUUGUAAAGGUUGAAAUGCUUGAACUGAUUUUCUUUAUAAAGAGGUUAUAUCAAUUUUGCCUGAGUAUGUUUUAAAAUGUCUGACUGGGAAUACUUCUUUAUGCGAUAAACUAAGACCUGUUAAGUCCUGGCCAUGGGUCCUGUCACCAUGCUGCAGCUCUUCAUUGCCCUUGGGCCCUGUCCCCAAGCUAUUUGAAUAAAGGAGCGCUACUUCCAGGCCUUGAGCCCAGGAACUCUUUCUCUUGACUCCUUGGCUUGCUGAGCCCGCUUGCUUCACCAGCUUGUGAGCUAAAGUUCUAGUUUUCCUUGUGCCUUUCUCUUUUUCAAGGAUGGAUCUAAAUUCACUGCUCCAUCGGGAACCUUCUCAGACAGCUGUAUGAAUCCACUUUUGCUGCCCAUGGCUACUCUAUGGGGCAAAUUGUGGCAUUCAGCCUGAAGAGAAUCAGUACCUUAAGCCUGAGGGUGAUGGAAAAUGAAUGAAUCCAUUCCUUCCUGACUCUAUCUCUAAUAGACAAAUUUUACAUGGGCACGGGUCGGCCACUUAAGUCAUUAGGAUGGCUGCCAAUCUCCAAGACUCCCGUGGAAGGUUUCUUUUCCUAAGGCUGGAUUGGGAUCCCUUCCUCUGGCACCUGACCACUCUCUGAACUGUGGAAAAGUCCCAAUCGGGACUCCAGUUCAAGGCAAGUACCAAACUCUAACCUCUGGUUGAGUAUGGGAACCCCUUCUUGGGAGAAUGGCUCCAGGACGCAAUUGGGUAGAAUGUCCCCCAGACCAGCGGAAAAAUUCCUCACUGUUUUUCUCUGUUCUUUUAUCUUUGGGACAACUCACCUGGCACUUAAUGACUGCCAGACAUAAUAGGGAAGGUAUACAAGGGAUGCAAUGCAGAGGGAGGCCCCCAUCGCCCCCUGCUGUAGGAACCCCACAGGCAGAACAGGUAAAAUGCUGCCCUAGGUUCGGGAGAUUUUCAAGGUAAUGGACCCUUUUCUGUCCUCUCUCUUAAAGUUACAGUGGCCAUUUUGGGCUCCUUCUGAGCUUUGCAACUGAGAAGGGAAUUUUUAAGGUGUUAAAGGCUCCACCCCUGUGAGCCCCCACUCUGGUUCUGGGCCUGAUCACCCGGCGACCACGUGGGUGCCCUCUCUUGGCGAUUGACUCGUUAAGCAUUUUAGGUGGCCUACUGAGUUGGUUAUGACGAUAGGAGACCUGUGAUUUAUUCUGUGAACUGUCCUGAUGGUGUUGUGUGCCCCAGCAUGGGAACUGCUGUGUGACCUCUAUCUCGAUAACCCUUGGGGAAGAGGCCAUGAGGGUGAGGCCUGAUCUCUUUUCCUUUGUUCUCCAGGCCUUUGCCUCCUGCUUCCCUGCCUGGCUCACCUGUGCUGGCUCAGGGACUAAGUGCCCUGGGCUAAGUGGGAUUUGACUAGAUCUUAUAACUAUGUUGAUGCCUGCAGUCAGGCGCCUUUGCACCCUUUCUCUGGCCUUGUCAGUUAGACACCAGCUUUACCGCCAUGAGGAAUGCCUCAACCAUCCCCAGAGACUCAGCCCCUGCGUGCAUUUUAACUAGUUGGAAACACUUUCAGUUGGAUGGUUUCUGCUCCAGAAACUCCAGCUUGGAGAAAACUUGAGGAGUUUCUCUGUGCCUUUGUGAUGUAGUUGGACAGGUAGGUCAAUCUAGAAUGUCAUUAAGUUAAACCCAGUAACUUCCAACUGUCUUUGGAAAAUCCGUGCAAGACUGGAAAUACAGCUCUAGAGGCAGUUCAGAUUCCACUCAGUUCCUUUAUCUCAAAAAGGAUUAUCAUCUCCCCGCCUCCAGGAACUACUAUCUAGCCCAUCACUAAUUACUAAGACUGAAAAAAAAAAAAAGAGGGGAAAGGUCAUAAGCCUGCCCUUGCCGAGAAAAAAUCUAGCAUCUUGAGUGUCUUCUCCACAAAUAUUAGUAAAAAGGCUCAGAACAAAAUUUGGAUUCAUAACUAGGGAGCUUUGUAUUGUACCUGAUUCAUGGAGUGAUUUUUUAAAACAAUAGCUUGAAGGCUCUGUGUCUGUGUGUCUAUAUGUGUGUGAUAUUUUUACCCCGGGUGAUAUGGCCAAAACUAAGAGCUCUGUUUAAUUGGAUUAAAGUAAACUCUUACAUAAAUUCUAAAUGCAAUAGAAAUUAACCCAAUGUCUUUUAAGUUAAGAUGAUAUGGAUUAAUCUUUGGUUAAUGAAAGUUUAAGUUUGUUGGUUUGAUUUAAAUGUUUGGACAUGUCCUCCAGAGUUAGCACUGCAUGUGAUGCAAAUAAUGCAGCCUGGGUUUACUAGUUUAAAAAGAAGAAAAACAAGAGCUUAUGUUAUCCCUGUUAGAAAUUUGUCAGCAUAAUAACUUUAAAUGAUAGCUGUUUGUCUAAUGUCUCAAAGUUUUUGUGCGUAAUCUAAACAUCAUUGUUGGGAACAAAUGAUUUAGAUAUAAAUGAAAUAAGAGUUUAUAGAUAACUUUUUUUAGCAAUAAUUAUAGUUUAUGGUAUGUGUAUUUAAAAUAACUUCCAAAAUCUUUGGUAACUUGAAACUUUGAAAUUUUGCUAGGUUAAUUUAAGUGAAUGAUAAAAUUUGUUGAGUACCUAGAUUAUUUCCAAAUAAGAUAUUAGACAUUAAUUAUUAAAUGUAAGUUUAUCUACUUUUGGCUUCUUAUUGCAAAAAGGCUAAAAGCGUUUGGGUCUAUCAGAAAGUAUGCCUUGUGUUUAUUGUAAAGUGGCAUGCUUCUAGAAAUUAGGAAAAGUGUUUAGAAUGUUGAUAUAAAAGACAAUUCGUAAUUGCUUAGUUUUUAGUUUUUUUACUACGGUCUGUAAGGAUUAAAAGUUCUAAUUAACAUACGUAAUUAAAGCUACUGGAAAUUAAUAAGGAAAAUGUUUCUGUAUUCAAGGAAAGUUAAAAUGUAUGUUUUCAGUAAAGAGGGUAUAAAGAAUGCAAAUAUUUGUUUGAUUGGUUAAGAAAGAUAAAUUUGUCCUAAAGUACUAGAAAGUAAGAAAGAAAGCAUGGAACAAAUUCUGAAUGUAAAACAAAGUUAUAGAAAUUCUGAAAAGAGUUUUGUACCUGGUCAAGUUGGUUAAGAUUGAAAUGAAUCUAAUUAAAUAAAUGGGUUUUAAUAUGAAAAAGUAAACUGAUACAAAAAUUAGAAUUUGGCUUUCUCGCUCAAAAGGAUAAUUUUCUUGAACUUUUCGGCCUGCUCUAAGUCUACCUAAAAGACAGAAAAUCUGUUUUGUUAAAAUGAUUUUCCCAUCUUCAGAAAGAGGUCUCUUAAGAUUUGACUGUUUCAGCUAUUUACCCUUGACUAUUUGUUGUCAUUUUGAGUAUAUACCUGAGCAUUGUUUCACAAUGAGUGUUGUUGCCUAUCUGAAGAAGUGUUUAAAACCUUUUGAUAUUUUUGACAAGCUUCUCCCUCAAAAAUAUUCAAAAGUCCUGAAUAAAGGCUUUCUUUUGACCUGGAUGAAGGAAGAGAAUUUCUCUGGGGAUUUUCAGAGGGCCACUGGGACUUCACAGAGAAAUUUGCUCUCUCUUCCUAUAAGGUGGAAAAUUCUAAACUAAUUAGGCUUAUUGGUCUGUUAAAUUACAUGGGAAGCAUUGUCAAAUAAGUGAUGAUAAACUUUCUUAGGUGGUAUUAUGUGGGUGAAUGUUAUUAAUAUAGGUGUCUUAAAAUUAUAUAGCAUUCCUAAAAUUUUGAUUUGUCCUGGUUAUCGGUUGUAAUUCCAAUUGUUAUCUUGAAGUUGUUGUAUAUCACAGAAAUAACCAAGUUUCUCUGUCAAUUGUCAUUUUUAAGACUUUUGUUGUUUACGGUUGGUUGUUUUACUCUGCUUUUUGCUUUUGCAAAUAUGUCUCAUCUUCAGAGGAAUUCAUGGAAAGGACUCUGACACUUACUCUGGAAUACAGGUUUCUGACAAACUUUCAGAUCAUAGAACUGAACUCUGGAUAAGAAAUUACAGAAAUCUCAUGGAGAAACUGAUGACCCCAUAAAACUGCUAACGGAAGAUUAAGAUCAAGAACCGGUUAUGCAGGACUGAAUGAACUGAGGAUGAUUAUAUUUUUUUUUACGACUUUCAUUUGAAAUAUUGUUGAUUUUUUGAUGUUUUGCUUUGUUUUCUCAGAUUCAAGAAAAUCUUUUUCUCUUUUUUCUUGUGCUAACUAUGACUUAGCAAUUUGGUGAAAUUAUACCUUUUUGAGCAAAACUGAAACAUUUAUCUUUUUCUCCCUACCUGAUCCCUCCAGAAUUUGGAAACUCUUUGUGAGUAUGGUUAUUUCAUGGCAAUAUAGUUGUUUGCAUAAGUUCAAUAAGAAUCUGUUCUCCUUAUAACAGGACACAUUGGUUGUAUUACCAAGGCUUUGACUGGAAUGUCAUAUUUGAGAGAAACAUACAGACUCGGAUAUGACAAUACUGCCUUUGAGGAAUAAGGUUGACUUUCUGGAAAUAAGCCACUUGGAAAUAUGGGCCUGGUACCUUGUUUACAGAGAUUCUGGCAAUCUUACCUGGUAAGCAAGGAAGCUUGAUUAUCUGUCAGAUGUAAGGAACCUCGGAAUAUUUUGGGGGACCUCAAGAAGAGAGGAGUCCACCCAAAUCUGUAGGUACUGCAGGCAAAACCUGACAGCAAGUCCUUGGCUUGGCUUUUCUGGCCUCGAGAGGCCUUUACAGUUCAAUCUGAGAUUCCUCAUAAAAAAAUUCCAGCAAAGCAAAUUUAAGAGCCUAUAUGAUCAACUGCUAUUCUUGCUGCACUUCUGUAAAUAAUUGGGCCAAGUUUCUUGAAACUAAACUUAUUUUGCAAACCAAUUAGUCUUAAUUUUGCUAUCUUUGGUAAAAAAAUGAGGGUGAUUUUAGAGAGAAGAACUAUGUUUCAGUGAAAAACUAUAAUACACAUUUGUGUAUGUUGGAUCCUAGUUUUGUUAAUUGUCUUUGAGUUUUUUUUUUCUACCUGUGAACUGGAUUGGAUCCUGAAUUAUUCUACUGAAAUAUCUGGUUACAAAUCUCCAAACUAAUGUUUUCAAUUUUUUUACCUCAUUUUCAUUUGGAAUCAUUGAGAAUUGAACCUGCUCUUUUUCCUGAAGCCUUGCAAACUGAAGCUGAACGGCUUGAUAGAAACUUGAGAGAUUCCUGUCUGUUGCUGUGUAAGCUGUAAGCCACUCAGAAAGAUACCUGAAUGCCCGAUGACAUCACCAGAGACAUUUCAAGCUGCUAAAGAUGCUUCACUCUGACAUCUAGAAGUCUUCUUGACUGACUGCAUGCUGGACUCGGGAACUAGUUUAUAAUUUGCUCC
rnacentral:lncRNA from 1 species